rnacentral:rRNA from 1 species
AGAGUUUGAUCCUGGCUCAGGAUGAACGCUGGCGGCGUGCCUAAUACAUGCAAGUCGAGCGAACAGAUGAGAAGCUUGCUUCUCUGAUGUUAGCGGCGGACGGGUGAGUAACACGUGGGUAACCUACCUAUAAGACUGGGAUAACUCCGGGAAACCGGGGCUAAUACCGGAUAAUAUAUUGAACCGCAUGGUUCAAUGUUGAAAGACGGUUUCGGCUGUCACUUAUAGAUGGACCCGCGCCGUAUUAGCUAGUUGGUAAGGUAACGGCUUACCAAGGCAACGAUACGUAGCCGACCUGAGAGGGUGAUCGGCCACACUGGAACUGAGACACGGUCCAGACUCCUACGGGAGGCAGCAGUAGGGAAUCUUCCGCAAUGGGCGAAAGCCUGACGGAGCAACGCCGCGUGAGUGAUGAAGGUCUUAGGAUCGUAAAACUCUGUUGUUAGGGAAGAACAAAUUUGUUAGUAACUGAACAAGUCUUGACGGUACCUAACCAGAAAGCCACGGCUAACUACGUGCCAGCAGCCGCGGUAAUACGUAGGUGGCAAGCGUUAUCCGGAAUUAUUGGGCGUAAAGCGCGCGUAGGCGGUUUCUUAAGUCUGAUGUGAAAGCCCACGGCUCAACCGUGGAGGGUCAUUGGAAACUGGGGAACUUGAGUGCAGAAGAGGAGAGUGGAAUUCCAUGUGUAGCGGUGAAAUGCGCA